rnacentral:misc_RNA from 1 species
UUUCCGUAGGUGAACCUGCGGAAGGAUCAUUACAGCAGUCACCCAGGUUGCCGCAAGGCCUCCUGGGUAACCUACCACCCUUUGUUUAUUACACUUUGUUGCUUUGGCAAGCCUGCCCUCGGGCUGCUGGCUCCGGCCGGCGAGCGCUUGCCAGAGGACCUAAACUCUGUUUGUCUAUACUGUCUGAGUACUAUAUAAUAGUUAAAACUUUCAACAACGGAUCUCUUGGUUCUG